CGCGUAGGCUGCGGGGUAAGUCGGGUGUGAAAUCUCAGAGCUCAACUCUGAAACUGCACUCGAUACUGCUCUGCUUGAGGACUGGAGAGGAGAUUGGAAUUCACGGUGUAGCAGUGAAAUGCGUAGAUAUCGUGAGGAAGACCAGUGGCGAAGGCGGAUCUCUGGACAGUUCCUGACGCUGAGGCGCGAAGGCCAGGGGAGCAAACG
rnacentral:rRNA from 1 species